CCUAAUACAUGCAAGUACUGAAGAUUAAAAUUACUAUGAGACGAAAGCAACUACUCAGUAGUAUAAGUAUGGUCCAAAAGAUAAACAUUACCAAAACUAAACAGGGUCUCAGGGAAUGAAACGAAUUAAAAUCAGGAGAUAAAGAUCAACAAACCAUAGAGGUCACAUUACUGAAGAGUCAAAACGCCAGGAUCACAAGCCAUGUAAAAUUUCAGAUUCAGGAGGCUAAGAUCAACAUGAUAUCAGACCACUCAAGACACGAAGGGAUUCAAACUAGUGACAAUCAAAGGAAUAAGGCAUAUAGCGAGUAGAGACGACUACUUAACCUACUUCAGGAUGAGAUUGUGGAAAAAAAACUAAUAUUUAAAAGAAACAAAGCAGCUAACAUUUAAAAUAAACAAAGCAAUUAUAUACAAGCAACGAUAGUGAUUUAAAGAUAGAAUACUUAGCUUGUAAGCAUGUAACACUAACUUAAAUCAAUUCCGCUAGUUUCUGAUUUCUUUUGGGGAGGCUUCUAACCAUCUAGGACAAUUGGUUUUUUGGAAUAAUGGGCUCAGGGGUUCAGGAAUGGGAUUUUGUGAUUCUGAGACCAAGUGAGGUCUCAGAUCUGAAUUUGCUUGGUGGUUAGUGGUAUUUGAGGACUUUGGGUGGCAUGGUUGGAGAGGGAAACGGACGGGGAUUGUCUGAGGUCAGUUUGACAAGAAUCCGGUGGGGUUUGGGUUUUAGGGUUAAGCUUCAAAUCGAUAUUCGGGGCGACGGAGAGUUUUUUGAAAGGAACAGAUUGCAGGACGGGGAAGGGGAGGUCUAGGUGAUCCUAUGGUCUAAAUUUGUGACGGUUUAGGGUAGAGUCGCCGGAGACGGUGGUUCCGGCGAACCUUGUUUUGAAUAUUUGACAAGAUGAGUAUGUGUUCAAAAGAAACUAACUACAGAAAGGGAAAGAGGGGGUCAUGGUGGUGCGGUGGUGUAAAGUUGGGGUGUUUUGGUAAUCGUCCGGCGCCGUGAGGCGCUUUCCGGCGGGGCAUUAGGGUGGCUGCUGGGUGGUUAAGGGAGGUCAGAGGGCGGAGAUAGGGAGGUGUACUUUGUACGAGGAAGAUGAAGG
rnacentral:lncRNA from 1 species